UCCCUUUUCACGCCCAUCGCGAUCCCCUAUAUCUCCUCUGCCGGCGCAAGCCGGAUAUGGCGAUAAACGGCCAUCGUAAUAAACCCAUCGGACCCGGGGGCGGUACCCGGCGCCUCCACCCGAGCCCACCCCACCUUUUCGCGAGGCGGGUGGGCUCCGGCGGGGGCGAAAUAGGAUCGACGAGGGCGUAAAGGGUGGGCUUUUGCUCGGCAUGGUACCGCCGAUAUCGGGCCAAACUGAUAGUUGCGAAUGACAACUAUGCUCCGGUGGCCGUCGCCGCGUAAUGCGGUGCUGGUACCGAAUUCAAAGUCCUUGCGGGUAGCACUGUAAGGCGGGGUCCGGAGGCACCUGGCAACAGAAGCCUCCACU
rnacentral:tmRNA from 1 species